rnacentral:misc_RNA from 1 species
CGGCCAAAGGAGCGGUUCCGGUGAGCCAGAGCGGCAGCAGAUUCCCUCUCGUCGAGCAUUGAAAUGGCCAAAUCAACCAACGCCUUCUUAGCACGACGGAACUGUCCUUCCCCAAGCAUUCUCUGAUUGUCCAAAGCGCAGAGAACAAUCUCAAUUAGCUUCUUCCACUCUCUGAUCUGUUCAAUCCCAUCUCGAAUCGCAUUACAAAGAUCCAAAGCCUUCAC